rnacentral:rRNA from 1 species
GAUCAUGGCUCAGGACGAACGCUGGCGGCGUGCUUCAUACAUGCAAGUCGAACGCGAAUCGGUAGCUUGCUACCGAGGAAAGUGGCGGACGGGUGAGUAAUAUGUAGAGAAUCUGCCCUAGAGAGGGGGACAACAGCUGGAAACGGUUGCUAAUACCCCAUAUGAGCGUACCUGAAAUGGUAUUCUUGAAAACUCCGGUGCUCUAGGAUGAGUCUGCAUCUGAUUAG